rnacentral:rRNA from 1 species
AUGUCUCAGCUUAUGUUGCUUUCUGCUACACUGUGAAUGGCUCAUUGUCCGCCACAAAUGGAUUGGUGGCUGACACAUAUGGAUAUCUAUGGCAACUCUGUAGCUAACACAUGCUCGUUGACCCUGCUGGAUGGGUUGUAGCCAUUCUCACAAGAACCAGUUCAGGCUCUGCUUGGCCAGGCAUGAGUACAAAUGGCUGUAUGAAUCACGGUGGCUGUGCAGGUGAUAAUCCUUCAAGGAGUCUGAGCUAUCAGCUUCCGACGGCAGGGUAAUGGCCCACUGUGGCAGUGACAGGUGACGGAGGAUUGGGGUUUGAUUCCGGAGAGGGAGCCUGAGAAAUGGCUACCACAUCCAAGGAAGGCAGCAGGCACGCAACUUGCCCAAUUCUGGACGAAAGAGGUAGUGACAAGAAAUAGCAAUUCAAGGCAUCCAUGUCUUGUGCUUGGAAUGAAAGACCUGCACACUUCCUUUUGAGUAUCUAUUGGAGGGCAAGUCUGGUGCCAGCAGCCGCGGUAAUUCCAGCUCCAAUGGCACAGGUGGGAGUUGUUGCAGUCAAAAGGCUCGUAGUUGGAUUUCUGCAGAGGAUGCCUGGUCCGCCCA